rnacentral:rRNA from 1 species
GUAACACGUAUGUAACCUACCCAUAUCAGGGGGAUAGCCUCUCGAAAGAGAGAUUGGAAGCCCGCAUAAAAUCACACGGUGGCAUCACCAAAUGAUCAAAUAUUUAUAGGAUAUGGAUGGGCAUGCGGAACAUUAGCUAGUUGGUAAGGUAACGGCUUACCAAGGCUACGAUGUUAGGGGAUCUGAGAGGAUGACCCCCCACACUGGUACUGAGACACGGACCAGACUCCUACGGGAGGCAGCAGUAAGGAAUAUUGGUCAAUGGGCGCAAGCCUGAACCAGCCAUGCCGCGUGCAGGAAGACGGCCUACGGGUUGUAAACUGCUUUUAUACCGGAAUAAACCUCUUUACGUGUAAGGAGUUGAAUGUACGGUAAGAAUAAGGAUCGGUAACUCCGUGCCAGCAGCCGCGGUAAUACGGAGGAUCCAAGCGUUAUCCGGAUUUAUUGGGUUUAAAGGGUGCGUAGGCGGCUAUUAAGUCAGGGGUGAAAGACGGUAGCUUAAUAUCGCAGUGCCUUUGAUACUUGAUGGGUUGAAUGUACUUGAGG